CAGCAGCCGCGGGAAUACAGAGGGUGCAAGCGUUAAUCGGAAUUACUGGGCGUAAAGCGCGCGUAGGUGGUUUGUUAAGUUGGAUGUGAAAGCCCCGGGCUCAACCUGGGAACUGCAUCCAAAACUGGCAAGCUAGAGUACGGUAGAGGGUGGUGGAAUUUCCUGUGUAGCGGUGAAAUGCGUAGAUAUAGGAAGGAACACCAGUGGCGAAGGCGACCACCUGGACUGAUACUGACACUGAGGUGCGAAAGCGUGGGGAGCAAACAGGAUUAGAUACCCCCGUAGUCCCUGUCUCUUAUAC
rnacentral:rRNA from 1 species